GAUGAAGAACGUAGCGAAAUGCGGUAAGUAAUGUGAAUUGCAGAAUUCAGUGAAUCAUCGAAUCUUUGAACGCACCUUGCGCCCUUUGGCCAUUCCGAAGGGCAUGCCUGUUUGAGUAUCAUGAACACCUCAACUCUUUAUGGUUUUCCAUGAUGAGCUUGGACUCUGGGGGUUUUGCUGGCUCACAGUCGGCUCCUCUAAAAUGAAUCAGCUUACCAGUGUUUGGUGGGUAUCAUGGGUGUGAUAACUAUCUACGCUUGUGGUUUUUCCACCAGGUAACCUUCAGCAGUGGAGGUUCGCUGGAGCUCAUAGAUGUCUCUCCUCAGUGAGGACAGCCCUUUGAAUGUUUGAUCUCAAAUCAGGUAGGACUACCCGCUGAACUUAAGCAUAUCAAUAAGCGGAGGA
rnacentral:misc_RNA from 1 species